rnacentral:rRNA from 1 species
UCGGGAAUUUUGGGCAAUGGGCGAAAGCCUGACCCAGCAACGCCGCGUGAAGGAUGAAGUAUUUCGGUAUGUAAACUUCGAAAGAAUAGGAAGAAUAAAUGACGGUACUAUUUAUAAGGUCCGGCUAACUACGUGCCAGCAGCCGCGGUAAUACGUAGGGACCAAGCGUUGUUCGGAUUUACUGGGCGUAAAGGGCGCGUAGGCGGCUUGACAAGUCACUUGUGAAAUCUCUGGGCUUAACCCAGAACGGCCAAGUGAAACUGUCAUGCUAGAGUGCAGAAGGGGCAAUCGGAAUUCUUGGUGUAGCGGUGAAAUGCGUAGAUAUCAAGAGGAACACCUGAGGUGAAGACGGGUUGCUGGGCUGACACUGACGCUGAGGCGCGAAAGCGUGGGGAGCAAACAGGAUUAGAUACCCCAGUAGUCCCUGAGCGGGCUGGCAAGGCGCAU